rnacentral:rRNA from 1 species
AACGAACGCUGGCGGCAGGCUUAACACAUGCAAGUCGAGCGCCCCGCAAGGGGAGCGGCAGACGGGUGAGUAACGCGUGGGAACGUACCUUUUGGUUCGGAACAACUCCGGGAAACUGGAGCUAAUACCGGAUAAGCCCUAACGGGGAAAGAGUUAUCGCCGAAAGAUCGGCCCGCGUCUGAUUAGCUAGUUGGUGAGGUAACGGCUCACCAAGGCGACGAUCAGUAGCUGGUCUGAGAGGCUGAUCCGCCACACUGGGACUGAGACACGGCCCAGACUCCUACGCGAGGCAGCAGUGGGGAAUAUUGGACAAUGGGCGCAAGCCUGAUCCAGCCAUGCCGCGUGAGUGAUGAAGGCCUUAGGGUUGUAAAGCUCUUUUGUCCGGGAAGAUAAUGACUGUACCGGAAGAAUAAGCCCCGGCUAACUUCGUG